UUGAAGUCCUGUAGCUUGACUUAAGGGCUGACAGAGUUGUCCUUCUUUAAAGAUUCUUCCUUUGGCAUACUUGGUGGUGGCAGAAAUCCCUGUCAGCCUCUCCACAGUCUCUUCUAAACUCUGAUCGCAUUAAGGGAUCGGGCCAAAAUGAUCUCGGUGAGGAUAACGUUUGACUUUAAAAAUAUUAAAAAUGAAAAAGAAAUUAUGACAUUAUAAAUGAUUGUUUUGGACCCUCCCUUCCCCUUGCAAAAAAACAAAACAGAAAUACUCUCCGUUACUAAUUUCUCAACUCACCCCUGAUUUCAAGCUUAAACCCUCUGAGGACGAAAGGCGCACCGGUGCGUCCAAACCAUGUUGGUUCACAUUUCUGAACCAACAGCUGUUAAAUGAACAGUUCUUACCACUGUCACUGAAUUAGUGAAUGGGAGGCAGCUCUGUGGCUGCUGAAGGGCCUGAGCAUUGUCAUUUUUUACGCUUGGGUUGUGCUGAACAUGCAUGAUAUUAUAGGCUAACUAUAUGACGCUGUACAUGUAACAUGUCUGUAGUCCUUUUUAAAGUGCAGAAUAAAGUGAAGGUUUGGAAAAAUGGCGCGCUCUUUACUGCUUGUUCAGGCGGAACACACGGCACCGUUGCAUACAGAGUCAAUUGACAGACAGUUUAAUUUCAAUUGGAGCAACAAAUGUGGCUUUAUGAAUCUGCCUCAUGAAAGCACAGAGACAAAUGGGAAAGAGGAGAGAGAGAGUGGAGGGAAAUAAGAGAAGGAACUGGAGUUACUGCCGAGUUGCUGUUCGGUUGGAGGCUGAGUUAAACAGCAGACACGCACGUGGUCGGUGCGUCUGUGUCUAACUAGCUUACAGCUGACAUGCAGAUGGUACGCUGGCUGUUUGGGGUUUCCUCCCUAAUAACUACAGAUCCACAUCUACUGUUUUAAAAAAAAAAAAAAAAGGUUUUAACCUGGCACCUUGACCACCGUCUCACAGCUGUUCCGCCUUCUAAA